rnacentral:misc_RNA from 1 species
UUAUUUUGUGUUUGUGUCUAUAUUUUUAAAGUUUCAUAGUUGGCACUAUCACAAAGGUCGAAAUCGACAUAACUUUUAUACAUAGUAUAAACAUAUAUACUAAACAGUCUUAUUCUGUGAAUAAAUUUUGAAUUUUUGACAGUUACUCUAUACAAAAACUGUUAGAGGUCAAUUUAAAUCCGUGGUUAAGUAAAUGUUAUCUGACUUUGGUAAAAAAAAAAUCUUUCAUUGGUUAUAUUACAAACAUUUUAUUAAAUACUUUAUAUUACAAACAGUUUUCCCUAAUGGUAUUUCAUGAUUCAUGCCUACGCACAAUUGACGAGCCUUGAGUUAUAAUGAUUUAUUCAUAUUUCAGAUCUGGAAAGAGUGGUAUGUGAGCAAGUGCUACCUUCUACUUCUCAAAGGACUGAACAAAAUUUAGGCAGGAAAAUAUCUGCUAGGACCUUUAAGCUCUCCAGACCAGAAAUAAAUGUACGGAUGAAAAUAAUGGCUGUCAAAAAAAAAGAUAAAAAAUAAAAUUUAAAAGCAGACAGCUGAAAUAAAGGCAGCGAAAGUAUGCAGGUCGGCGAUGUCAUUGUACUCCCAGUAAAAAUUUAAUAAAACUUAUAUCCAAUUUCCAAGACAUAGUUUAUCAUAUUCUCAAAGAAAACUUAGAAUUUCAUUAUUUAAAGGAUAUUAUUAAAACGUCUAUUUAUUCCUUAGUCAAUUUUGAUUUUAUACAAUGUAAUACGCAUAAAAGAAAAAUGAUAGAUUAUUUAAUUAAUACUGUGAUUAGAUUUAUGAAUUUUAAUUAUUGUAAAGUAAUGAAUAAAAUUUUAUCUGGGAGAAGACAAGUUGAUGAUGAAGAAGAUAAAGUACAGAUGAAAGCUAAAAAAUAUCAUACUAAAUGUUUUAAAAAGAAAAUUUAAAUAUUACCUUAUGGGGCCGAUAAAGUAACAUUUAAAUUUUCUAUAAAUUGUGUCUUGGAAAUUGGGAUGGACAUAAGCAUCACAUAAGUAGUUUUCACAAUUUCACAAUUCAAUUCCUUUACCAACCAGGAAAUCUAUCAGUAAUUUAUAUUAUACAAGAUUAGUUGGAAAGGGGCCUGGCCCACAGAGUACUGUUAACUAUACUGAAAGGGUGCCCUUUGCAACUGUAUAUGAGUUUGGCAAUACCUUUAAUACUUUACAAGAACAUUUAAUACUAGCAAUAGCGAAAAGCAGUCUCGUUUCCAAUUUUGAUAAGUGUGUACUAAAACUUCAACACAAUUGUAAUGUUCGAAAUAUAUCUCUAUCUAACUCAUCUAGCCACUCCAAAUGGAUAAUUUUGCAAUAUUCUACCAUACCAUGUUAAAUCUUUACAUAUCAUAUCAUAGGCUAAUUAAUCAAUCGAGGUCAAUAGUAAUAAAAAUAUUAUUAGGUAAAUUGUAUUUCAUUUAUCAAUCCCUGAAAUAAACACAUUAUUAAAUCAUAAAAUUAAAUAUACCUAUAAAUAGCUAUAUGUACAUCGGUAUCACAAAGUUUUCGUUCUGACUAUAAAAUACAGAUGGCGCUAGUUUCUUCAUGCCCCUUUUUAUGGAGCAAGAUUGGUCUCUAUUCCUGUUUAUAUCAUACUACUCUGUGGCAAGAUGGAAGACGACUACACGCGUACGCUUGAUUUCCCUACGCCCGGAUCUUCGUCGACGGGUACGACGCCUGCGUCCCGAUCAGUUGUUGCAAACGAAAAAGUAAUAAUAAUAAUAAUUGUUUAUUUGCAAGAACAUGGUGUUGAAGUUGUACAGGAUUAACAUUUGUAUAGUCCAAAUAUGUUCUACCUUACGGUGUGCAAAUAUUAAAUAUUAAUGUGGUUAUUAUACAAAGUUUUUAACAUAAACUGUAGAUUAUUUAUCUUUGAAUUAUUUAUAUAUUAUUAAAUUAUUUAUAGAUUAUUAAUAUAUGAUUUACUUUCUUCCUAAAACUAUACAACCAAUAUUAAUAUAAUUGAGAAAGAAAAAGUAUUAAAUUAUUUAUACAUUAUUA